CAAGUAGCUCAAGCCAAGCAAGGUCGAAGCCAGGUUGACCACGUGACCGUAUGUCAACGGACCGUCAAGGCCUGUUUCAUCGGACCGCUCUGCCGAUCUCUCGGCGUGGAGGAAACGUAAACAAAGGAAAUGUACUCUCUUGUCCAUUUUUUGGCGGAAAAUGACGUCGCAGUUGUCCCUACCUGUUGGGUGUGCAAUGGCUGCACGGCAUGGCCACCCUACAAAUCAAAUCGGUUGAUGAUGGCAAUUAGAGAGCGUGAAGAGCUUUCGACUGACUGGGCCACAUUCUCCUGUCAGGUGAUGGCAUCAUGUUUGACAUAUGAAGAUGCAAAGUACAAAGAAAAAAAAUUCGGAAGCGACGUCCGACCUAACAUUGAAUAAUGAAGAGCGGGAGAAGAGAAAAAGGAAGAGACUGCAGCAUACUCUUUCUUCAUUUGAGGAUGAGGACUUCUAUGACCAAGAUGAACGACGUAACACUCAGCCAGCCCCUCAACUUCCAGAACGUGCACCAGAGCCCAAGCAAAAACGCACACGUGAGCUGUGCGCACCUGCUUUAAACAGAAGGCAGAAAACAAUGAGCCAGCCAUCAUCGUGCAGGAAGCCGACGCCAAAUGGGCUGCUGCUGAAUCGGUCAGGCAUGCACCAGCUAGGACCAAGAAAAUG
rnacentral:lncRNA from 1 species